GCUGCCUAUCAUUUGCUUUUCCUCAUGAGCUCCUGGACCACCUCAUAUCACCAGCACCCUCUACCCAAGGUCCUGGAGCCAACACUGGAGUAAAAGAGCACAAGAGAACUCCUUAGAGGUGGAAGGAUACCCUCUGAGGUCAAAUCAUUGGGCUUGUGGCCAUGAGACCACAGACUUUGCCUGGCUUCCAGUGACUGUCCGAGAUGACCUGUGGAGUGCACCGCCUGUACUUGGACAUCACUGUCUUUUCGGAUCCAUACCCGUCAUCCUUGGAAUUUCCCCUGCAUCCAAACCUGUUCCUGAUACAGGUAUAACCCUAAGGAAUAUCUUGGAUGUCUUCACGGGGCUUAUGACUUAUUCUGAGGUUUACAAAAUAGAGGCCCCCAGCUGAGCAAAGAGAGGGCUGCAGCGCCGAGGGAACAGCUGCCGGACUCACCGGAGAGGCCUCCUGGAGCACGCCGGGACCCCCUCCACCCCCUGGCUUUGGCUGCAUCAAUGGCUAGUUUGCCUGAACUAUAUCUGAGCCACUGAGAGUAUUUAUUAAGCAGAGAAUAAUUUUGAGUUUCACUUUUAUAACUUUUGUUUCAAAAGUUGUUUUGGAUAAUUUAAUGAAAUGACUGUAAACCAGAAUUCCCCUUUUCAUUAUUUCUUUGUGUCAAUAUAAAAAGAGUUGAUGAUUUUAAAAGCCAGUGAGAUGUCCCUGUCUGUGGAUGUCAGCGGGAGGGUGGGGUCUGACGCCUUUCUCUGGUGGCUGUCCAGGAAGAUUGCCCCAGCUUGCACUCCCUUUUGGCGGGUUCCAGAGCCUUCCAUUUGAAAGGAGCAUCUCUCACCACUCUGCCCCACCCAGCACCAGCUCUUCU
rnacentral:lncRNA from 1 species